ACGUAGGUGGCAAGCGUUGUCCGGAUUUACUGGGCGUAAAGCGCGCGCAGGCGGGUUGGUCAGUCCGGGGUGAAAUCUCACGGCUCAACUGUGAGAGGUCCCUGGAUACUGCCAGUCUUGAGGGGCUCAGAGGAGUGUGGAAUUCCGGGUGUAGUGGUGGAAUGCGUAGAUAUCCGGAGGAACACCAGUGGCGAAAGCGGCACUCUGGGGGCAACCUGACGCUGAGGCGCGAAAGCGUGGGGAGCGAACCGGAUUAGAUACCCGGGUAGUCCACGCCGUAAACGAUGAGUACUAGUUGUCGGGGGUAUCGACCCCCUCGGUAACGAAGCUAACGCGAUAAGUACUCCGCCUGGGGACUACGACCGCAAGGUUA
rnacentral:rRNA from 1 species